GUGCUGGCUGCAGCAGCACAUAUACUACUAAAGUUAGAACAGUACAGAGAUUAGCAUGGCCCCAGUGCAAGGAUGACACACCAAUUCAUGAAGCAUUCCAAGACUUC